GGCAAAGAACGAGGUGCCACCCCGAGCUCUGAGCAUUUCAUUGAACCUUCAUAGCAACGGUCCUAGGAGGUGGCAGCUAUUAUUAUCUGCAUUUUACAGAGCCUAGUUAAAGGUAACUCAGCCCAAGAACUGCUCCAGCCCCGAUGCACAAGGCCUGCCACUGAAGGGCCCGUCAUGGUGUGGAACGAUGAACGAAAUGCGUAUUUGUUACUGGAAGCGCAUUCUGACCUCCUCUCAGCUCCUGAGACCUUGUGUGUUCAGUCAGAAGAAUUCAGCUACGUACCACGUGGACCUUCUUUUUUAACAUAGUAAAGUGUGAAGGGGAGAGAAGAGAUGUCUCUGAAUAAAGAAGCAAACAUCAAGGAGGCAAGCUGAACAAUCUUCUAAAGAGGUGGAGACUGGUAGCCCCGGGGCUGAAUCGCUCUGAGCUGGAUAGGAAGGAGUGCGCCUACUCACUGGAACUCAGCUUCAUUCUAAAGGAAAGCACAAUCUCUCCCCUACACAGGUAUCCAGUAGUCCUGGUGUGGCCCUGAUUGGCAGGAGAGGUGUAUGUGGGUGGG
ensembl:lincRNA Gm43202 predicted gene 43202